AUGGCGAGGGGCGAGAACAGCGAGUCGCACGGCAGCGGCAACGUCCCGGCGGCCCCCGCACCAGGGGCGGCGUCAGCGUCCUCGGGGAAGCAGGCGCCGGCGGCCGCGCGUGGCGCAGACGGGCAGUCGGUGGUGCGGCGGCUGCAGUCGGAGCUGAUGGCGCUGAUGAUGGGCGGCGACCCCGGGGUGUCGGCGUUCCCGGAGGGGGACAACAUCUUCCAGUGGGUCGGCACCAUCGACGGAUCCGCCGCCACCGCGUACGAGGGCACCUCCUACCGCCUCGCGCUCGCCUUCCCCAGCGACUACCCCUACAAGCCGCCCAAGGUGCGGUUCGAGACCCCCUGCUUCCACCCCAACGUCGACAACCACGGCAACAUCUGCCUCGACAUCCUCCAGGACAAGUGGUCCUCCGCCUACGACGUCCGCACCAUCCUCCUCUCCAUCCAGAGCCUGCUCGGAGAGCCGAACAACGACUCCCCGCUCAACACACAGGCGGCCGCGCUCUGGGCGAAUCAAGAAGGUAAACUCCCCUCAUCCUCUGAACGUCCCGUGGUGAUCCGAUCAACCUGUUCUUGGUUCUGA
rnacentral:rRNA from 1 species